CUUGACUGUGUCCAUCCUCCCCCCUCCUCCCUGCAGGCAUCUCUUCCUUCCCGCUUUCCCGGCAGCAAGGACCCCAGCAAGAACACUGCAGAUACAGUGGUCCAGUACCUUGUGAUCAGACCAUGCAGUCAGCAUUAUGCAGCUGUAGAAAACUCCGAUGACACAAGACUUUACGCCAUUCAGGAUGUCCCCAGGUGCAGGUUAUUUUUAGGGAAGAGAGGCUCUGAAGAUGCAACAAAGAUGAGGUGGCCAUUCCUAGAAUGAGGACCUCCUGUGAUAGCAGAAAGAGCUCAGUCCAGGUGCCAGGAUGUUCUGGGGAAACCGGAACGGACCAUAGCACUUGGCUUCCAUCUAGCAGAGCGAGGAACUGUGCCCUGAAACUCAUCACCGGGUUUUGCAUUACUAUUAUUACUCUUCUGGAAUUUCCCUGUUUGGAAGAUUGUUAUAUUCUGUGUUCUAAAAAAAGAAAACACCAACUCUAACAAUUUAACAUGCUUAUACUAAUAAUUAUAAAACAACCAGGAUGAGAUUUAUGUUAUAACUUAAGAAAAGUUAAUGAUGAGUAGAGAGAAUAUAGUUCUAUGCUUUGUUAUUUCUAUUAUAAAAACAAAGAAAAACAAAAUAAAAUAGGAGCCAUACAAUCAACUCACUUUCUUAUAGAAUAAUUUAUUACAUUGUGUUUCUUUGCUUUGAAACAUCAUAAAUGCAUCUACUUUUAAAACUCAGAAGGGCUUAUUACUUCACCCGGCAACAAUCCCAAUUGACAAUAAUAUUGUCAAUUUAAUAAAAUUAGAAUGAUGUGUAUAAUAAAGUGUUUUUCUAUUUCAAGAUAAAAUAUCUUUUUUAUCCAAAAUAUCCCUUAUAGAUAAUGUUUACCUUACAGGUCUUGGGCUCCCUCCUUACCCCGCUGUUAGUAUCUACUUGUGGUUCAUGGAU